rnacentral:rRNA from 1 species
GACAGAGGGUGCAAGCGUUGUUCGGAAUCAUUGGGCGUAAAGGGCGCGUAGGCGGUUUUGAAAGUCGGAUGUGAAAGCCCAGGGCUCAACCGUGGAAGUGCAUCCGAAACUACAAAACUUGAGUCCCGGAGAGGGUGGUGGAAUUCCCAGUGUAGAGGUGAAAUUCGUAGAUAUUGGGAGGAACACCGGUGGCGAAGGCGACCACCUGGACGGAGACUGACGCUGAGGCGCGAGAGCGUGGGGAGCAAACAGG